CCACAAAGUAGAUAUCUUUAGCUCCAAGCCUUUUUGAUAUUUGGAGAUGGUAAUUUAUCUACUAUUUCCUUAUACAGAAGAUUAUAUGUUUGUAACGAAAAUGCAAAGAACCAUUGGUUUAAUUACCUACUCCCUCCGUCCCAAAUUAUACGUCGUUUUGGCUUUUCUAAGUUCAUAGAUAUUAUUAUGCAUCUAGUCAUCUAGAUAUAGUGUAUGUCUAGGUGCAUAAUAAUAUCUAUGAACCUAAAAAAGUCAAAACGACUUAUAAUUUGGAACGGAGGAAGUAGUUGUUGAUAACUAAUUUAAUGCUAGCCAGAUGAUAACUCUCUUGGUGCUGCUUAAAUGUACCUACUUGCACAAUUGCUAUAUGGAUCCGGAUGAUAACCCUCUUGCGCAACAUUUUGCUGCUGCUUAAACAUACCUACUCGUACAAUUACUAUUCAAAUUCAAGAGCCAAAUUUUGAACAUUUUAUUUCUUUAAGAAUAUGAAGUUAUAUAAAUCUAUCCAACUGUCACCUGCUAUGCUUGGUCAGUUGGUAUGUUUUUUUGUCCUAUGAUGGUUAACUAAUUUAGCUU
rnacentral:lncRNA from 1 species